rnacentral:snRNA from 1 species
AGCGUUGCACAGUGGCAGUAUCAUAGCCAAUGAGGUUUAUCCAAGGCAUCAUUAUUGCUAAUUGAU